CUCUUUAUUGACUUUUUCCUAAAACUGAGGAAAAUAAAUCAGAACAAUCCACCCCAACCACAUUAAUAAACAAUAAAACCUCAAUCUGUAAUGUACAGGAUUACUCUAAAUAAAAGGUUGACAAUCAAGCAGUUUCAAAUAUGAUUAUUGCAUUCCAACUGCAUAUAAGACAAAUAUGUGUAGGAGAAGGUCAAAUAUAUAUAUAUAUAAAUAAAUAUAUAUAUUUAUAUCUCAAUGUAACACUGUUUCAAACCAAGGCAACAAUAAAAAGGCAAAAAAAUAAUAAAAAGGCAUCAACAUUUGUCCAGACACUCAUGUGGAUAUGUUGCAGUGAGUUUCCUCCUUUAAACAAAGUCACAAAUAUGUGUAACUGUGUUUGCAGUGUGUUCGACAGAUAAGUGGAGGAUGGUGAUUAGGUCCAAUCCCAUAAACCCCUAGCCCCAAGGAGAGGAGAGGGAAGAGAGGGGGCAGGGUAGAGGAGAAGAGGGGACGGGAGAGGGGAGGGUAGAGGAGAAGAGGGGACGGGAGAGGGGAGGGUAGAGAGGGGGGCAGGGUAGAGGAGAAGAGGGGACGGGAGAGGGGAGGGUAGAGGAGAAGAGGGGACGGGAGAGGGGAGGGUAGAGGAGAAGAGGGGACGGGAGAGGAGAGGGUAGAGGAGAAGAGGGGACGGGAGAGGAGAGGGAAGAGAGGGGGGGCAGGGUAGAGGAGAAGAGGGGACGGGAGAGGGGAGGGUAGAGGAGAAGAGGGGACGGGAGAGGGGAGGAGAGGGGGGACGGUAGAGGAGAAGAGGGGAUGGGAGAGGGGAGAGUGGAGGAGAGGAGAAGAGGGGAGGGGAUGUUAGAGGAGAAGCGAAGAGGCAUAUAAGGAAAUGAAUUUAGGGGAUAAGGAAAUCAAAUAAGGAGAAGAGGUUAGGAGACAAGGAGAUGAGACUUGACUGAAGACCGACUUAAAUGCUGGCUGUCCUGGGUAUCUCCUGGCUGUCUGCCAGAUUCAGCUUCUGACUUGUGGAGAGGAGAUUGGAGUCAAGGAGAACAGCUGAAACACACACACCUCACUCACUCUGCUCUGAGCCCCCCCUCC
ensembl:lncRNA